UUGCUUCAGCAGCACAUUUGCUAAAAUUGGAACAAGACCGAGAAGAUUAGCAUGGCCCCUGUGCUGGUGGAAAUGCAAACUUGUGCGGCCACUUUGGAAAUCACU
ensembl:snRNA U6 U6 spliceosomal RNA